AUGGAUCACUCGCCCGCCAAGUUCGUCCUGCUCCUCAUGGCGGCAGCGGCAACCUGGAGCAGCGUCUUCCCCGUCGCCGACGCGCGGUCGGCUCAUGCAGUCGCCGCGGGCUGCAUACCGCGCGAGCGGGACGCCCUGCUGGCCUUCAAGCAUGGCGUCAACGACACCGAGGACGACCUCGUGUCGUGGCACGAAGGAAACCAAGAUUGCUGCCGAUGGGAAGGCGUCACCUGCGACAACGCGACCGGCCAUGUCGUCGAGCUUGACCUGGGCUGGUGGACUUCUUUCUUGGUCGGCCAGAUAAGUCCUUCCUUACUUUCACCAGAGCAUCUGGAGAGCCUUGAUCUCGCCUACACAGGACUGUGUGACCAUGCGCAUCGUCUUCCAGAGUUGCUGGGUUCUUUCAAGAACCUGAGACAUGUCGAUCUCUCCGACACGCUUUGCCAUGGUGAAGCGCCUCCUCAGCUCGGCAACCUGUCGAAGCUGGAAUAUCUCGACCUCUCCGUCCCGGCUAUCACCCAAGAGAGGGACCUAAAAGACAUCUCAUGGUUAACCCGUCUACCUCUCUUGUCAUAUCUUGACUUGAGUUGUUUGGACCUCAGCUCAGUUGUUGAUUGGCCUCUUGUGGUGAGCAUGAUCCCCUCCUUGGAGUACCUCGACCUUUCUAACUGCUCACUUCCAAGUGCAGCCCGAUCCCUCCCACACCUAUACACCACAAAUCUUAAGUACCUUGACCUCUCCCGUAACUACUUUGGUCAUCCUGUUGCAUCCUGUUGGUUUUGGAACAUAACAAGCCUCGAGUACCUCCACCUCUCAAAUACCAAUCUCCAUGGCCCGUUGCCUGAUGCACUGGGAAAUAUGACCUCCCUCCAGUGGUUAGAUUUGAGCAACAUGGGUAACAGAACCACAAUGACAGUGGAGUUGGGAAACCUAUGUGAUUUGGGAACACUACGGCUUGACCGGAGUCUCUCCUCUGGAAACAUAACAGAGUUUCUGGAGAAAUUGCCAAAGUGUUGGUCCAACAGAUUGCAAGAAUUGACGUUGAAGAGCAACAAUAUGUUUGGAAAGCUGAUGAAUAGUAUGGGACAAUUAAACAACUUAACUAUGCUUGACCUUUCUCACAAUAACAUUACGGGAACUAUACCGAUAGGCAUUGAUAAGUGCUCUUAUUUAUGGCACUAUGACCUUUCUUACAACCAUCUUAUUGGAGCUAUACCCUCAUGGUUGGGGAAUUGCACUAGAUUGUGGUAUCUUUCUCUUUCCAACAACCUGCUCACUGGACAUAUACCGCAUGGUUUUGCGAGUUGCGCCGCGUUACUUACACUUGACAUUUCGGACAACCAUCUUAGUGGAGCAAUACCACCGGGGUUGGGGAAUUGCACUAAUUUGGGGCAACUUUAUCUUUCUAGUAACCAUCUUACUGGACAUGUGCCAUCCAAGAUCGGUAUGCUUGGUCAUUUGUUUGAUCUCGACCUUAGCAACAAUAAUCUUGAUGGCAUGAUCACAGAAGAACACCUGCUUGGUCUGAAGAACUUAGAGCACAUGGAUUUAUCACACAAUUCUUUCUCGGGACCUUUACCAUCACAUUUUGGAUCUCGAUUGUUAGUAGAACUGUCUUUAUCCUACAAUUACUUCAGUGGCCCUAUUCCUAAAUAUAUUUGUCAGUUAGAGUUCCUACUUGUCUUGGAAUUGUCAUACAACUCUCUAGAGGGAGAACUUCCUCGUUGUUCUCAUGAAUCUAGCUUGGUUUACCUCCUCUUGAGUAAUAACAACUUUUCCGGCAAGUUUCCAUCAUCAGCCCGAAACUACUCAAGAUUGGCUUUCCUAGAUCUUUCAAGGAAUAACUUCUAUGGAACAUUGCCGUCAUGGAUUGUAGAGUUGGUAAAUUUGAAAUAUCUGCAACUAAGCCACAACUUGUUACAUGGAGAUAUUCCAUCGACUGUCACAAAUCUGUAUUGCCUUCGUCAUUUGAAUUUAGCCAAAAAUAUUAUAUCUGGAGUUAUACCAUGCUCUUUGUCAAAAUUAACUGCAAUGACCCAAGCAAACUCAACGAAACAUGGGACACACAAGUCUUGCAGGUCCAACAACUAUGGAGUUAUGAAAAAUGAAGUUUUGCUUGUUGUAAUGAAGCGCCAAGAACUUAAGUAUGGUAUUAUUGGAUUUUUUGAUGUGCUGAGUAUUGACCUAUCACUCGACAAUUUAGUUGGUCGAAUUCCAGAGGAGUUAACUUCUCUCAAUGGACUGUUGAAUUUAAACUUAUCAUGGAAUCACUUGAGUGGACAAAUUCCUGCGGAGAUUGGGGCUAUGAAGUCAAUUGAGUCACUAGACCUCUCAAGGAACAACCUUUAUGAUGACAUCCCGGCAAGCUUGUCGAAUUUGACGUAUUUAAGCUCAUUGGACUUAUCAUAUAACAACUUUACUGGAAGAAUUCCCCUAGGCAAUCAACUUGACACAAUCUACUCCGAGAACCCGUCCAUAUACGCUGGUAACAUUGGCCUGUGUGGCCCUCCUCUCGAAAGAAAUUGCUCAGGAAACAAUGGUCUUGAGCAUGUGAAUCAACAAAAAAGUGAGAAGGUUUACGAGCUACUAUUAUCCUUUUACUUUGGACUUGGGUCUGGGUUUGUGGCUGGCCUUUGGGUCGUGUUUUGCACUCUACUAUUCAACAAAACAUGGAGAGUUUCCUAUUUUCGCCUCUUCGACAAGUUGUAUGACAACGCAUAUGUGUUUGUGGUUGUUAUUUGGAGGAUGAUAAAUUUCAAGGAAACUACAAGUUGA
rnacentral:rRNA from 1 species